AGGAAGAUGCUGCACUAUGGUUAGACCAUUCAAAAACUUUCCAGAAAGGCCGUUGCUUGCGCUUGCGAUGGUUAGCUAUCUGUUCUGAUUCUGAUCUUCUCAACAUCUCCCACAUCACUUGAACAUCUUCAUAUCCACAGGUCUGCACGUCAUUGUGAAGCUUCAGAAGCCCAGCACCCUUAUUGCGAGGCUUGAAACGAGCAGAGAG
rnacentral:misc_RNA from 1 species